rnacentral:rRNA from 1 species
UAUUAUUUUAGAAUGUUAAUUUUUGUGCCUGAGUAGUAUUAGUUAUGUUCUUGAAACUUAAAGAAUUUGGCGGUAUCUCAUUCCGUCCAGAGGAAUCUGUCCCGUUAUCGAUAGUCCGCGCUGGACCUUACUUAUUUGAUUUUGGUUUGUAUACCGCCGUUUAUUGAUUAUCUUUUUAGGGUUUAUUUAAUUUUCUGGUUUCUUUAUUUUGAUGUAUUUCAGGUCAAGGUGCAGCUUGUUUUUAAGUGGAAUGAUGGAUUACAUUGUUAUUUGUUUAUGGAUUGUUAGUUUUAAUAUUGGCAUGAAAUUGGAUUUGGUUGUAAUGGUUUGUAGAUUGUUAUUAUGAUAAUUGGUUCUGGGAUAUGCACACAUCGCCCGUCGCUCUCGUUUGUUUAUAUAAUGAG